CGAGCACGCGCGUGUGGCAUAUCAAUAAGCGGAGGAAAAGAAACUAACAAGGAUUCCCUUAGUAACGGCGAGUGAGGCGGGAAGAGCUCAAAUUUGAAAUCUUCAAGGUUUUACCUUGACGAAUUGUAGUUUAAAGAAGUGUUUUCUGUUGAAGUUUCGGUAAAAGUUCUUUGGAAUAGGACAUCAUAGAGGGUGAGAAUCCCGUAUUUGACCGUUAUUUUCAGCUGUGUGAUACACUUUCAAAGAGUCGGAUUGUUUGGGAAUGACAGUCCAAAAUGGGUGGUAAAUUUCAUCUAAAGCUAAAUAUUGGCGAGAGACCGAUAGCGAACAAGUACCGUGAGGGAAAGAUGAAAAGAACUUUGAAAAGAGAGUUAAACAGUACGUGAAAUUGUCAAAAGGGAAGCGUUUGACACCAGUGUUGUUUUUCCGAAAAUCAAUUAAGAAUGUUUUAGUUUUUGAGGAGUUAUGACUUCAUCGGCUCGCUUCUCUCUUUAUGAAACUUUCUUAAUGCACUUUUCGGUUAACAAGUCAACAUCAAUUUCUUUUGUUGUAAAAGAGUAUGAGGAAGGUGGCUUGCGUUUCGGAUAAAGUGUUUAUAGCCCUGUAGCCUUCUGCAAUCGGAGAGAUUGGAGGUCUGCAGCGUAGAUCCUUCGGGGUUAGAUACGAUUUGUGCUAAGUUAUAGCUUUUCAUAGACAACUUGUUGACUAUGUUUAGUCUUGUAGCUUACUCGCUGACGCUAUUUUACCUACGCUUAGGAUGUUGAUGUGAUACUGCGAGCA
rnacentral:rRNA from 1 species